AAUGGAGCCUGCCUUCUAUGAACUAAGACCUCUGAAACUCCAUGAGCUGAAAUUUUGCUACUCCUGCCAUGAGAUGCCACCAAAGGCCCAAAGCAAAGGGGUCAAUCCUGGACUGAAAACCUCUAAAACUGUUGUUUCUGAAUCCCGUCGACAGUAGCAUUCAUAGAAUCUUAGAAAAUAUUUUCCACUACCAAAGUGGACAGCAGAGUGGAGCCCUCAGGAGAGAAAAGGUCAACUUCUUCCAUCAAGCUUUCAUAAUUGAAGGGCAAUUUUCUGUCUGUAACACUUUAUUUCACACUUUUUAUGGAUCAUCUUUUCCCUAAAUAACUCUCUGUUGGCAACUUUGAAAAUCUCAAUUUGCCUGCUUCCUUGAAUCCAUUGAAUGUUUCGGUAUAAACAUUACUGACAGAUUAUUGUAGACGUUCUAUGAUUUGAGUAUGAUUUCAGUGUCCCUCAAGGCUUCAUAUACUGAAAUUCAAACCCUAAUCGGAGUCACUAAGAGAGUAGAAACCUAAUCUGAUUACAGUGUUGUUUUUUUUCUAUUUUUAAGAAAUUGGUUAGUAUUAGAUAAAGUCAUUAAGGUGGAACCCCAGGAGACAGACUUGAACACACACCCGAUCACACGCUCCCUGUCUCUUGCCAUGUUCUGCCCUGUGCCACCUUAGGACACUGACCAGAUACAGCCCCCCUCGACCAUGCUCCUCAAGAACCAU